GCCCUAGUAACGGCGAGUGAAGCGGCAACAGCUCAAAUUUGAAAUCUGGCCUCGCGGCCCGAGUUGUAAUUUGCAGAGGAUGCUUCUGGCGCGGUGCCUUCCGAGUUCCCUGGAACGGGACGCCACAGAGGGUGAGAGCCCCGUAUGGUCGGACACCAAGCCUGUGUGAAGCUCCUUCGACGAGUCGAGUAGUUUGGGAAUGCUGCUCAAAAUGGGAGGUAAAUCUCUUCUAAAGCUAAAUACCGGCCAGAGACCGAUAGCGCACAAGUAGAGUGAUCGAAAGAUGAAAAGCACCUUGAAAAGGGGGUUAAACAGUACGUGAAAUUGUUGAAAGGGAAGCGCUCGUGACCAGACUUGCGCCGGGCGGCUCAUCAGGGGUUCUCCCUUGUGCACUCCGCCCGGCUCAGGCCAGCAUCGGUUUUCGCUGGGGGAGAAGAGCGGUGGGAAUGUGGCCCUCUCGGGGGUGUUAUAGCCCGCCGCACGAUGCCCUAGCGGGGACCGAGGUCUGCGCUCCGCAAGGAUGCUGGCGUAAUGGUCAUCAGCGACCCGUCUUGAAACACGGACCAAGGAGUCGUCCAUUGGAGCGAGCGUCUGGGUGUCAAACCCGCACGCGUAAUGAAAGUGAAAUUAGGUGAGAGCCUCGGCGCAUCAUCGACCGAUCCUGAUGUUCUCGGAUGGAUUUGAGUAAGAGUUUCAACGGACGGACCCGAAAGACAGUGAACUAUGCUUGUAUAGGGUGAAGCCAGAGGAAACUCUGGUGGAGGCUCGCAGCGGUUCUGACGUGCAAAUCGAUCGUCAAAUAUGAGCAUGGGGGCGGUAAGCAUUCAACCCUUCCACCACACACAACAGACACUUGGAACGAAACAGACACUAAUCAUACUUCUCUUACA
rnacentral:rRNA from 1 species